UAGGGAAUCUUCCGCAAUGGGCGAAAGCCUGACGGAGCCACGCCGCGUGAGUGAUGAAGGUCUUCGGAUCUUAAAACUCUGUUAUUAGGGAAGAACAAAUGUGUAAGUAACUAUGCACGUCUUGACGGUACCUAAUCAGAAAGCCACGGCUAACUACGUGCCAGCAGCCGCGGUAAUACGUAGGUGGCAAGCGUUAUCCGGAAUUAUUGGGCGUAAAGCGCGCGUAGGCGGUUUUUUAAGUCUGAUGUGAAAGCCCACGGCUCAACCGUGGAGGGUCAUUGGAAACUGGAAAACUUGAGUGCAGAAGAGGAAAGUGGAAUUCCAUGUGUAGCGGUGAAAUGCGCAGAGAUAUGGAGGAACACCAGUGGCGAAGGCGACUUUCUGGUCUGUAACUGACGCUGAUGUGCGAAAGCGUGGGGAUCAAACAGG
rnacentral:rRNA from 1 species